rnacentral:rRNA from 1 species
ACAGCAGUAGCCGCGGUAAUACGAAGGGUGCAAGCGUUAAUCGGAAUUACUGGGCGUAAAGCGUGCGUAGGCGGUGAGUUAAGUUUGCUGUGAAAUCCCCGGGCUCAACCUGGGAAUGGCAGUGGAUACUGGCUCGCUAGAGUGUGUCAGAGGAUGGUGGAAUUCCCGGUGUAGCGGUGAAAUGCGUAGAGAUCGGGAGGAACAUCAGUGGCGAAGGCGGCCAUCUGGGACAACACUGACGCUGAGGCACGAAAGCGUGGGGAGCAAACAGGAUUAGAGACCCCUGUAGUCCCUGUCUCUUAUAC